rnacentral:rRNA from 1 species
UAUGUGAUCGUCUCUCGCAUAUCAAUAAGCGGAGGAAAAGAAACUAACAAGGAUUCCCCUAGUAACGGCGAGCUGAAGCGGGAAGAGCUCAAAUUUGAAAUCUUAAAGGGUUUCCCUUUACGAAUUGUAGUUUAAAGAAGUGUUUUCUGUUGAGGUUUUGGUAAAAGUUCUUUGGAAUAGGACAUCAUAGAGGGUGAGAAUCCCGUAUUUGACCUUUACUUUCAACUUUGUGAUACACUUUCAAAGAGUCGGAUUGUUUGGGAAUGCAGUCCAAAAUGGGUGGUAAAUUUCAUCUAAAGCUAAAUAUUGGCGAGAGACCGAUAGCGAACAAGUACCGUGAGGGAAAGAUGAAAAGAACUUUGAAAAGAGAGUUAAACAGUACGUGAAAUUGUCAAAAGGGAAGCGUUUGACACCAGUGUUGUUUUUCUGAAAAUCAAUUAAAGAACUGUUUAUGCUAAGUUGUUUAGACUUUAUCAGCUAACUGUUUAGUUUUGAGCUUUUCUUUAAUGCACUUUUCAGUUAACAAGUCAACAUCAAUUUCUUUUGCUGUAAAAAAGCUUGAGGAAGGUGGCUUGAGAUUCGUCUUAAGUGUUUAUAGCCUCUUGCCUAUGCAGUCGGAGAGAUUGAGGUCUGCAGCGUAGAUCCUUCGGGGCUAAAUGCAUUUGUGCUAAGUUAUAGCAUUUUAUAGACAACUUGUUGACUAUGAUUUGUCUUGUAGCUUACUCGCUUAUGUUAUUUUACCUACGCUUAGGAUGUUGACACACGCGCGUGCUCG